ACUUAGCAGCCGCGUCUGAGUCUUCGACCUAAUGUCCUAAACUCCUAAUCUUAGCAGCCGCCUCUCUCUUCUUCUCCAAUAUCCAAGGUUGUUAUUGAUUUCGGUUUGAGUUCUACAUCAACCCUUCCAGAAGACUUCAGACAGCGAUCACUAGCGCCAAGGAGCAGCUCAUCAGUGCCGAUCCUCAGCCUGGCUACUUCAAUCCCGGCAAGCCCAUCACCGUCGACGUCGUAAUCUGGACACAAGGCUUAGCUCCUAGUUAGCGCAUCUGGGCAACCAGAAAUUCAAUCUGCACACUCUUUAUUUCGAUCAUCCUGCACAUUUUCUUUACUAAGGUUCUAACCAUAUUUUAUCCUGCUUAUGAUAUUCUUGCAGAGUUGUAAAACUAACUGAAGAAGGUUAUGUCUCAAUGAAAAAACUUUCGCCGAAAAAGUCUAGGAAGGUUCCUUGAUUGCUUGCCAUGAAAAAGUCUAUCGCUCCUCUUGAUAUUAGUGCCUCAGUCCAAUUUCAAUUUCAAUUAUAAGGCUUGAUCAGUGAGAAUGUGAAUUUGUGUUUAUGUGGGAUUUGUAAUUAACUCAGGUUCUGAAAUCUCAAAAUAUUCGGAUUUUAUUUUUACUUUUUUAGGUAGCAAAAUUUGGUUUAAUGUGUACAAAAACCCGGCCCGGCCCUUUUGGCCCUUUCGGAAUGGGCCUUAAGGGCGGGUAAGGGCUUGCAUUUUGAGGUCUCGGCCUGGGCCUUAAUUCUGUUGACUAAGUCAAAGCUCGGCCCGGCCCGGCCCGGCCCUACCCUAAGUCCUAAAAUUUAGGGUAGGGCUGGCCCUAGCUCGGCCCAUGAUGAGGCUUACAUGGACAUUUUUAUUAGGAAAAUGAAGUGACAAAAUGCACAAAGAGGACAAAGAACAAACAAUUGUUUAUAGAAACUGAUGUGUAGAAAAGUAUUAGACAUCAUUUUUGAAAUAACAAUCGAUGUAAAUGUCCAUUUAGAUA